GCCUUCGUGGUGUAGUGGUCAGCACGUUCGACGUGUAUUCGAGAUGCCCGUGGUUCGAGUCCCGGCAAUGUCA
rfam:Stegodyphus mimosarum contig26053, whole genome shotgun sequence.